CGGACACCGUAGAGCAAGCAAUUACCUGCGCAUACAGCCUCUGCAGGACACCGCAUUCAUGUCGGGAAAUUGCACGCCAAAGACGACGAGCUCGAAGAGCUCGGUGGAGGCAGCAAAACGCGUUCUGUCACAGCGACACAUGGAGUUGCAGCUCUUCAGAGGGCGAGGAAAGAUCUCGGAGUGGACCAACGGCGACGAGCUCGAUCGAUUCACGGAGGAGCUCGUAAAGGAGGAGGAGGGGAGGAAGAAGGGCCCGAUCCCGACGGUGGUGCUAAAGCAAGUGAUGACGCCGCGAACGUCGUCGACGACGACCGCGACUACGGUCACCGUUACCACAACUAUUUCUACGAGCACGACAUCGACAUGAUGGAGACGGUGGAGUCAAGAUAGCUGCUUGUGCAUAGACUGUUGUGGGUUCUAAAAUGUGUGUUUUCCUUAGUGGAGGGUAUGACAUGGGAAAUCAAUUCAAGCUUGGAAAUUGUUCGCUAAAUUAUUAACGCGGUAGAAAUGUGAAUUUGUAUCUCUCAUAUUAAUUGUGUUUGGAAUUCAAGAUGGA